UAGAGUUUGAUCCUGGCUCAGAACGAACGCUGGCGGCAGGCCUAACACAUGCAAGUCGAACGAUAUAGUGGCAGACGGGUGAGUAACGCGUGGGAACGUACCUUUCGCUAAGGAAUAGCUCCGGGAAACUGGUGGUAAUACCUUAUACGCCCUUAGGGGGAAAGAUUUAUCGGGGAAGGAUCGGCCCGCGUUGGAUUAGGUAGUUGGUGGGGUAAC
rnacentral:rRNA from 1 species